AUUCUCAGUUCGGAUUGUAGGCUGAAACUCGCCUACAUGAAGCUGGAGUUACUAGUAAUCGCAGAUCAGAAUGCUGCGGUGAAUGCGUUCCCGGGUCUUGUACACACCGCCCGUCACACCACGGAAGUUGGGGGCGCCCGAAGCCACUUAGCUAACCCAUUUGGGAAGCGAGUGUCGAAGGUGAAAUCAAUAACUGGGGUGAAGUCGUAACAAGGUAUC
rnacentral:rRNA from 1 species